AGCCUGCGCGUCCGGAGCCUGUGCUCCGCAACGGAGAGGCCACAAUGGCUAACAAUGUGUGGUAGGAUACUCCCUUGUGAUUCUGGGCAUCAGCAGCAAGCCACAGCUCCCAGUCAGCCAUGUAAUCACAUGGGUUCUGAAACGAGGGAGAAGAUACUUCAUAAUUUAGCAAAAACUGAAGAUUUCUCAAGCUAAUAAUAGACCUAUCAUUUUGAAUCAAAGAUUAUCUCCUGCAAUAGAUAGAAGAGUGAAGAGCCAGCCAUCCUUUACCUUCAGUUGGUCCAAGAGGCUCUGUGCGUUAGUGUAUCACAUCCUUGAAGGAGGGGUGGUGUCCUGGCUUAUAUAAGAGAAACAAAAAUAAACUGGUUUAGAGGUUUUAGAAAUUAUGUCUUAGAUGUCUAGGAAAAUCACCCCAAACAAUCAAAACAUUAUACAACCUUUUUAUUGAGAUAUAAAAUCUAUCACAGAAACCAGCCACUAAAACUCAAAGCAUGCACCAAUCCUUGUGGAGAUCUUUUAGGAAGAAUAUGAUCAAGUAUGAGAUAUAACAAUAAAACAGCGUGGUGUACUCUUCUCAUCUUCAAAACACUUUACAAACUUUAUCUAGUAAAUGAUCACAACCCAUCACUGAGACGGCAGGUGGUGCUAUUCAUCCCACUCUACAGAUGAUAACCCCAGGGAAGGUGAGUGGGCCACCCCAGGACACACAGUGGGUAUCAGAGAUGACACAAUCUUAGAAGUCCAGAUAUUCUCACUGUGACCAGAGACUGUCAUGCUUUCAGAAAGCCCUGGUGUCCCAGGUUCCAGUCUGAAGGCCAGCAGACUAGAGAUUCAGGAGAGUUGAUAAUUAAAUGAAGUCUGAAGGUGGUCUCAAGAAUUUCUGCUUGCUCAGAGAGGCUGGUCUUUUUAUCCUAUUUAAACCUUCAACUGAUUGUACAAGGCCCACCCACAUUUUAGAGAGUGAUCUCUUUUUUCUUCACCGAUUUAAAUGCUAAUCUCAUCCAAAAACACACUUCAAGUUAAAAUAUAAAAUUAACUGUCACAGUUACUAUUAUAAAAUGGAUAAACAAUUCCAAGAGAAUAAUUACAAUUUUUUUGAAUAACUUGGUAUCACUCACAACCAAUUACUUCUUCAGAGUAUAAAUCAAGUAAUGCCUUUUAAUAGAGAGAAAGAUGGAUUAUGACCAAAAUUAUUGUUUUACUACUAUGGGUUAUGAUAAAGAAUAGGAAUUAUGAUACAAAACUUGAGAUAGUUGUGUCAAUCUGUGGAAGCUUCUGGGGAAGCUAUGAGCCUGCUUGAUGCCUUUGUGCAAAUGCAUUUUUUGACAAAUGCUGGCAAGUGGAGAGCAGGCUGAAUUUCAUCCUUCAACGAUAGUACAUGAGGUCUGGUUUUGUGUGACCUGUGUAUUCCACCAUACCAUAUAUGAACUGUACCCUUAGACUGUGUUGUAGUCUAAAUCUGGUUACGUUCUAGUGAGGAUGCAAUUUAAUGAUGCGCCACUUAUGUCAGAAAAAAGUUGAUUACACUUAUCAACAGGCCAAAUAUAAUAAACUAGCAUAAGUGAAAUGGAAUUUGCCUUCUUAAAGUUAGGCAGGAAUUUGCCCUAUUUUUAAAUAUGUCCUGGACAGAUAAGCCAACUUUCUUAGGAACCUAUUGUAGGGUCUUCAACCAAAACAGCAAAAAAUUAUUCCUUGUGUCAAAGCAAAAUCACUUACAUGGAAUUUAAGUAAAGUCAUCAUUUUAUUCUGUUAUGAAUGAAAGGAAACAUUAUGCAUUUUCUUCUAUUAUUAUAACACAAUGAGUUUUAAGAACACGAAGGCUAACAGAAAUUUGGGGUUGAGACUUAGAAGUAGACUGUUUUCUUCACUGGACAUAAACAAAAUGAUUUUACAUCCCAACAAGCAGAUCAGAAAGCCAGACAAUUUGAAGCUCACCUAAAAAUUUUUCUCACAGAUUUUCAUUUCCCUGGCGUCUUUUAGCCUCUUGCCUUUCACAAUAAAAAUUAGAAAACAACCUAUUUUCCCUUUCACAACCACUGGUAAGGUGUGGGCGUGACGAAAGAGAAGAGCCCUGCCAGCCAGUGCCAAACCAGUCCUAGGGAUCAUAUGGUAAACCCUCACUUCUACCCACCAAAACCACCAAUAAAAAUAAUGACAACAGUACCUCCCACUUGGGUACUGCUUUGAUUUUCAAUAGGAUUAAUUCACACUCCCUUACUUAAAACUCUUGCAUGUUUAUUGCCAAUAAAAUAAAAAAAGCAAAACAAAACACAUACACACAUAGUGUGAGGUAGUCAUCACAUAAGGGGAUUGUAGCUAAAGGAAAAGGGAGAUUUAGUAAUUUGCACAUGGUCACAUCACAAGUAAGUGACAGAUUUGGUUUGGAAACAAGAUCCUCUUCCAUAUCCAACAAUCUUUCCAGGUUCUGGAACAUCCAUAAGAUGGGUGGGAUGACUCUGCAUCUCCGUCCCCUUCCUGCUUAUACAUCCUCCUCCAUCAAGCCUGCAAUUUAGUCCAUUUUCCCCUGCCCAUCCCCAGAUGGAAUGGCUUUGCAGAGGAGAAGCACAUUGAUCGGUUUCUCUUUCUCCAAACCAUCCUGAAAGGCUGUGCCACAUACACUGAGGCGAGCAGCAAAGUAAUCCACUCGCUUUCCCACUCAUCAUGGUUGGACCUUAUCUUCCCUUUUACCCACAGAGGUAGGAUUCACAAGAAAUAUGUAAUCCACUUUGGUCCCUAAUUUUGUCUCAUAUACCCAUAUCUAUAUAUUUCUGUGGCAUCUCAUGUUUAUUUCAUUCAAAGGUAAUCUUUUUUCCUCUUUUCUGUUUCUGUUUUUGUUUUGUUUUGUUCUGUUUUUCUGAUGUUUCCACAACUUACCUAUAUAAUUUCAGGUUGUUUUUUCAGAAUUCCAAGACCUUCCAUGGAAAACUGAAGAUGUACUCACAUUUAACAUAUAAUAAUAUUACUCAGUUGUUAAAAUUGUUGGACCAGUUCUUCUUUUUCACUUUCUACCUCCCCUUUACCCCCAUUGAAAUUCAUCUUUUUUGUCUCUGAGCACUUCUAAACAGCUAAAGAUCCUUCAGUUCAAAAACUUAAUCACUUUGACCAAACAUUCCACUAAAGCAGAAGAGAUAUCAAGUGGGUUGAUGUAUUUUAAAAGGCCAAAGAAGAUCAGUUUAAUAUUUUUUUCUCUUUUAAACAUACUCAGUAUGGCCACAGUUUUCUCAAAGAGUCCACAAUUUUAAUUUAAAAACAUGUUUCCUUUUUGGGACAAAAACCACACUAAAAUACCGAAACUAUUCUCCUGGCUCAUCCUCUUUGCACAAUAUCCUACUUGAUACUGUGAUGGAUUGAAGACCUAACUAAAUACCCCCAGUUCAUACUGAGUACACACCCUCCAAGCUCCCCAAACCAGUUAGGCAUUAUGGAGGGAGUUUUGCAAUACGAAUAUUUUCCCAGUUGCUCUCUCUUGGCCACACCCCAGAAACAAAUGAAAAUGUUCUAGAGUUUUCAGAGUGGUCAAACACAGCUCUGCUUCCAGCCUCUCCUGAGUCAGGCACACAUUUGGCCUGAAGCUGUUUUGUUGUUUUGUACAAAUGGAAGCCACUCAACUGCUUUUGCACCUUAUUUUAAUGUCUAAUUAUUUCAAAGUGAUCUCUGUUUUUAUUGACAAUAAUUACCCAUCAAGUUCAAAGGCUCCCCCAAUUAUGAAACAUCUUCUAAGGACUAGCUGAUUAGUCCAGCUUGUUAUUAAAUUAGAAGUAUAUUCUUGACCUGUUUUUAGUGAAGAUUUUAUUAUUGCUUUCCUAAUAAGCUUAAUCAUCCCCUUGAAAUCACAUUAAUAUUUUUCUAAUCUCUAUUAUCUCUAUUAAGAGGCUAUGGACUCACUCACUAUUAGGUAAGCAUUUAAUGUCUCCUCUAAUAUGGUUCUAGAUCAUCUUUUCAAUCCCAUGUUUAACUCCUUGAUUUUCCUGCCUCCCCCUUCCACACCCCAGCCCCCCACUCAAACCCUCUGGUCUAACCAAAUAGGUUUAUACUUUGAUGUCUGGAAAUGAUAUGUACCUGUAUCAGUCUCCUUGCCUUCACUCUAGUAGCAAUAAUCGUUUUCAUUGAAAACUUCUUUUCUCUAUAUUCUUCCUAUCCCAGCUCUCCCAGGUCACCAUGCCAUGCUCACUCUGUACUCAGAUCUCAAAGAGCACCGUGGCUUCUCCCACUCACAUAGCACUUAGCACAUGGCAGUUGCCACUAAGUCCCUUAAAACUUAGUAUUUAACUCUAGAUUCUGACUCCACUGCUAGAUUACAAACUUCAAGAAAGUGGGAUUUGCUCUUAUACAUCACUGUGGCCUCACAAUCUAACAAAAUAGGAGGACUGGAUCUGGAGCCUAAAGAACUGGCAGGUGGGCUUCCCUGAUGGCGCAGUGGUUGAGAGUCCGCCU